CUACCCCAUUUGCCAUUUGAGGAUGCAGCGAAAAGACUGCCAUUUAUGAAUGAGGAAGUGAACUCUCACCAGAUACUGAAUCUCGCGGAAUGUUGAUCCUGGACGUCUGGCCUUCAGAACUGUUUCUCCAUAGGAAGACAAGGAAGAGAUAUUAGUCACAACAAAUGUUUUCCUGUAUGUUUUCUGUGAAUAAUAUAGAAUUGCUAUCCAGCAAACGUGACUACCUACAACUUACCAGCCCCCCGGUACAUAGUUGUAUCUUCUUCGUUGUGGGUGCUUCUAGUUGUGGCAUGUGGGACGCUGCCUCAGCGUGGUCUGACGAGCAGUGCCAUGUCCGCGCCCAGGAUUCGAACCAACGAAACACUGGGCCGCCUGCAGCGGAGCGCGCAAACUUAACCACUCGGCCACGGGGCCAGCCCCUGCCUUCCCUUAUAUUUUGAGAUCCAUUUUUUUUUUAAACUCUGUCCUCAUCUAAGAGACAAAUCCUCAAAGGUGCCUCUGGCUGCAGUGUGUGUCGUCAAGAUUCUGGUGGCAACUUUCAGAGUGAAUUUUCAGCGCGUCAAACCUGGCUAAGACUUGGAGACAGUGUUUGGGUUGUGGUGAUGGGGGGAGACUUAAACUGGGAAGGAAAAAUGGAGGUACAGGUACCUUCCAUGUAAGAGAAGGAUGGAUUUCACUAUUGAGCCUGAGUGCUACGUAGAAACCUUUAGAAUUCCAGGGAUCUGGGCUGCCAAUGGCAGAUGACCCACCUGUCUUUGAAUAUCCUAGACUCCGCUUAGCAGCCCCACUCAGCAACCAUCCCCACAACCUUCUAUUAAUGGUGAAGGACUUGGGCACGUUGUGUGCAAAAAAGGACACAAAAGCAGCCUCUCUCCUCUAAUCAAGUAUCCUCCUGUGACAAUUGACCUAAGUGAAGCCCUUUUAAAAUAGAGCCGGUGCAGCCAUUCCAGAGGAACCGCCUUGCUCAUCUUGUUGCUUGAAGCCUGAACUGGGCCAAACUUUUGGACUGGGCUAAAAUGGUUAACCUCCUUACACUCUGGACCACCAAGGAAGUCUGUCUCCUGAAAACACCUCUGCAUGUCUUGGAAGCACAAAUAAGGAAGAUUCGCCCUGACCUAACAUCUGUGCCCAUCUUCCUCUGUUUUUUUGUACAUGGGACACCUUCAUGGCGUGGUUGGUGACAUGGAGAAAAAAUUUCUUGAUGACAAUAGAGCAAGAUGUGGGGACUGCUAUUUUCCAUAUCAUUCAGUAGAGUCGUUCAGUAGAUUUCUUUCUUUCUCCAAACUUUGCAAAAAUACUGAUUAAUUUACCAAUUAAAUCACUUUCCCCCCUAACUUUAUGCAAGUUUGCAAUGAAUUUCUGUAAUUAAAGUGUUUUAUAUCUAAAAGUUAUUUCACUGCAUGUUCUUAGAGGUAAUAUGUGCAGGAAAGUGGCCAUUUAAAGUAAGGCAGUUCCAAUUAUAAUGAUCCACUAAUGUUUAAUGAUAAAAACACAAAAUAGUCUAACAACAUUUUAGCACUAUUGGUACCAUGCCAACCAAAUACAUGAUAUUUUGAAAAGCCCAUUUAAUCAACUGCUCUAAGCAUUGAAUUCAUACCAUACACCAGUGGAUCUCAAUCUGUCUUGGGCUAAAGAUUCACUUGGGUUGCUGGCUUAAAAUGAAGAUUCCUGAUUGUCCCAUGAUUCCUUUCUUAGUAUGUAUGAGGUGACUUCAAUAAACCUGUAUUUUUAACAAGGCUUCCCUGGAGAUUAUGGUGCAGGAAAUUAUAUGCCCACUCACACUUUGGAAACCACUGCCAUUCUCCAACUUGUCAUGUAGCAGGAUAAAGAUGACUGUUAUGAACGAGUAGCCAGGUUGCAUUAAGGGAAAUUUCCUCAGAGAUUUUGUGUUUGUAUCGGUGCAAAGACCAUUGCAUAUGCCACUACAGAGAGAAAGAAGUUAAGAAUAAUAUGUGAAAUCUCAGUGUAAAUGAACAUAAAGGCUUAGGAAUUUGUUUUAAUACAUACAAAUUAGCAUCUAUGAGUGAUUUAAAAGAUGCCCAAUUCAUCCACAUACUGCAGAGCUGAAAAGAGAAGCCUAUAACUUUAAUUAGUUCAAAAUAUUUUUGCAAGCUUGUAUACUACACACGAGACACUUAAUCAUCUUGUAACUUAAAUCACUAAUUUGUAUAGGUUGUAACAAGUCUUCAGAAUACAAAAGUAAAUGACAGAUUGUUAAUAUAAAUACUUAAAUGGAAUUUUGGUGAAAUU
rnacentral:lncRNA from 1 species